UACGUAGGGUGCAAGCGUUUGUCCGGAAUUAUUGGGCGUAAAGAGCUCGUAGGCGGUCUGUCGCGUCUGCUGUGAAAACUCAGGGCUUAACCCUGAGCUUGCAGUGGGUACGGGCAGACUAGAGUGCGGUAGGGGGAGACUGGAAUUCCUGGUGUAGCGGUGAAAUGCGCAGAUAUCAGGAGGAACACCGGUGGCGAAGGCGGUUCUCUGGGCAUUACCUGACGGCUGAGGAGCGAAAGUGUGGGGAGCGAACAGG
rnacentral:rRNA from 1 species